rnacentral:rRNA from 1 species
UAGGGAAUCUUCGGCAAUGGACGAAAGUCUGACCGAGCAACGCCGCGUGAGUGAAGAAGGUUUUCGGAUCGUAAAACUCUGUUGUUAGAGAAGAACGUUGCAUAGAGUGGAAAAUUAUGCAAGUGACGGUAUCUAACCAGAAAGGGACGGCUAACUACGUGCCAGCAGCCGCGGUAAUACGUAGGUCCCGAGCGUUGUCCGGAUUUAUUGGGCGUAAAGCGAGCGCAGGUGGUUUAAUAAGUCUGAUGUAAAAGGCAGUGGCUCAACCAUUGUGUGCAUUGGAAACUGUUAGACUUGAGUGCAGUAGAGGAGAGUGGAAUUCCAUGUGUAGCGGUGAAAUGCGUAGAUAUAUGGAGGAACACCGGUGGCGAAAGCGGCUCUCUGGACUGUCACUGACACUGAGGCUCGAAAGCGUGGGUAGCAAACAGGAUUAGAUACCCUGGUAGUCCACGCCGUAAACGAUGAGUGCUAGUUGUUUGGGGCUAUCCAGC